rnacentral:rRNA from 1 species
UACGUAGGGAGCAAGCGUUGUUCGGAUUUACUGGGCGUAAAGCGCGCGUAGGCGGUCCGUUAAGUGCACAAGUGAAAGCUCCUGGCUCAACCAGGAAAUUGCUUUGCAUACUGGCGGGCUGGAGGGACGCAGAGGUCUGUGGAAUUCCUGGUGUAACGGUGAAAUGUGUUGAUAUCAGGAGGAACACCCAUGGCGAAGGCAGCAGACUGGGCGUUUCCUGACGCUGAGGCGCGAAAGCGUGGGUAGCAAACAGG